rnacentral:rRNA from 1 species
AAUGAACGCUGGCGGCAGGCCUAAAACAUGCAAGUCGAACGCCCUAGCAAUAGGGAGUGGCGCACGGGUGAGUAACAUGUGGGAAUAUGCCUUUUGGUACGGAACAACGUGUGGAAACGAACGCUAAUACCGUAUGGUCCCUCCGGGGUAAAGAUUUAUCGCCAAAAGAUUAGCCCGCACUAGAUUAGCUAGUUGGUAAGGUAAUGGCUUACCAAGGCGACGAUCUAUAGCUGUUCUGAGAGGAAGAUCAGCCACACUGGGACUGAGACACGGCCCAGACUCCUACGGGAGGCAGCAGUUAGGAAUAUUGGACAAUGGGCGCAAGCCUGAUCCAGCCAUGCCGCGUGAGUGAUGAAGGCCUUCGGGUUGUAAAGCUCUUUAGCCGACGAAUAUAAUGACUGUAGUCGGAGAAUAAGCCCCGGCUAACUUCGUGCCAGCCGUCGCCGUAAAAC